GGAUUUGUAGAAAAGAGAGACCGUCCCGAUGGAAUCGGGAAGGCGAGGGGUUCGAAUCCCCUCAGUUCCA
rnacentral:tRNA from 1 species